rnacentral:rRNA from 1 species
CGCAUCUGUGCAUGCAGCAUAUCAAUAAGCGGAGGAAAAGAAACUAACAAGGAUUCCCUAGUAACGGCGAGUGAAGCGGGAAGAGCUCAAAUUUGAAAUCUUAAAGGUUUUACCUUGACGAAUUGUAGUUUAAAGAAGUGUUUUCUGUUGAAGUUUUGGUAAAAGUUCUUUGGAAUAGGACAUCAUAGAGGGUGAGAAUCCCGUAUUUGACCAUUAUCUUUCAGCUGUGUGAUACACUUUCAAAGAGUCGGAUUGUUUGGGAAUGCAGUCCAAAAUGGGUGGUAAAUUUCAUCUAAAGCUAAAUAUUGGCGAGAGACCGAUAGCGAACAAGUACCGUGAGGGAAAGAUGAAAAGAACUUUGAAAAGAGAGUUAAACAGUACGUGAAAUUGUCAAAAGGGAAGCGUUUGACACCAGUGUUGUUUUUCUGAAAAUCAAUUAAAGAACUGUUUAUGCUAAGCUGUUUAGACUUUAUCAGCUAUACUGUUUAGUUUUGAGCUUUUCUUUAAUGCACUUUUCAGUUAACAAGUCAACAUCAAUUUCUUUUGCUGUAAAAAAGCUUGAGGAAGGUGGCUUGAGAUUCGUCUUAAGUGUUUAUAGCCUCUUGCCUAUGCAGUCGGAGAGAUUGAGGUCUGCAGCGUAGAUCCUUCGGGGCUAAAUGCAUUUGUGCUAAGUUAUAGCAUUUUAUAGACAACUUGUUGACUAUGAUUUAGUCUUGUAGCUUACUCGCUUAUGUUAUUUUACCUACGCUUAGGAUGUUGAUCUCUCACAGUCGAGC